rnacentral:rRNA from 1 species
AGAACGAACGCUGGCGGCAGGCUUAACACAUGCAAGUCGAGCGCUUGUAGCAAUACAGGAGCGGCGGACGGGUGCGUAACGCGUGGGAACAUGCCCUUUGGUUUGGAAUAACUCAGGGAAACUUGAGCUAAUACCGGAUAAGCCCAGAGAUGGGGAAAGAUUUAUCGCCGAAGGAUUGGCCCGCGUCCGAUUAGCUAGUUGGUGAGGUAACGGCUCACCAAGGCGACGAUCGGUAGCUGGUCUGAGAGGAUGAUCAGCCACACUGGGACUGAGACACGGCCCAGACUCCUACGGGAGGCAGCAGUGGGGAAUAUUGGACAAUGGGCGCAAGCCUGAUCCAGCCAUGCCGCGUGAGUGAUGAAGGCCUUAGGGUUGUAAAGCUCUUUCGCCAGGGACGAUAAUGACGGUACCUGGAGAAGAAGCCCCGGCAACUUCGUGCCAGCAGCCGC